UACAGAGGGAGCAAGCGUUAUCCGGAAUGAUUGGGCGUAAAGCGUCUGUAGGUGGUCUAGAAAGUCUACUGUCAAAUACCAAGGCUCAACCUUGGGCAGGCAGUAGAGUACUUUUAGACUUGAGUGCGGUAGAGGUAGAGGGAAUCCCUAGCGUAACAGUGAAAUGUGUAGAUUUUAGGGAGAACACCAGCGGCGAAGGCGCUCUACUGGGCCGAGACUGACACUGAGAGACGAAAGCUAAGGGAGAGAAUAGGAUUAGAUACCCUAGUAUUCUUAGCUGUAAACGAUGGAAACUAAGUGCUGCCGAAUGCAGUGCUGUAGCUAACGCGUUAAGUUUCCCGCCUGGGGAGUAUGCUCGCAAGAGUGAA
rnacentral:rRNA from 1 species